ACUUCGAAGCGUAAAGACUUGAAAACGCGUCGGAUAAACAAGAUGAAGUUACUCGUUUUUUUCUGCGCGCCGUCGUUGUGAGCCGAAAAGAAAAAGUAACAAAAGAAGCAGCGCAGGAAAAUCAAAAAUUGGCUGCAAGUGCGUGUUUUGAAAGUUUAAUAACCAAGAAAAGUCUUUGUAGAAUUCUUGGCACACCUUCGAUUUCUGGAAAUUAACGCGAAAUAUUACGAAACGAAGCGGUAAACAAAACCAAAUGGUGCGAAAGUGGUAAAAAAAAACGAAAUGCGGCUAUAUCAGUUGUCAUUCCACGAAGCAUUCAUAUCAAUCAAACCGAAAUAUAUAACCCAAAUUGUGUCCAUGUGAUUCAACGAUUUUGUGAUUCGAUACGAUACGAUACGACCUUGAAAAGCAUAGGUUUUUAUGUUGGUGAUUUUAAAUUUUAUCAAAACGAAACCAAUUCGCUACUGGGAUUAAGCGAACCAAGGAUUAUACGACUAUGGAACCCGGAAUUUUAAUUGAUGAAAGACAGCACAUACAGAAGAAAACAUUCACAAAAUGGAUCAAUUCACAUCUCAUCGAUACCCAGUGCACACCAGUGAAGGAUUUGUUCUUGGACCUGCGGGACGGACAUCGAUUGCUGGCCCUGCUGAGCACGCUGACUCAAACCAACCUGAAACCCGAAAAGGGUCGGAUGCGGGUGCACCACAUCAACAAUCUGAACAAGGUGAUUACCGAGAUCCAGCAGCAUGGUGUCAAGUUGGUGAACAUCUCCAGCGAUGACAUAGUGGGUGGCAAUGCCAAGUUGACCCUAGGCCUCAUUUGGCUUAUAGCGCUGGAGUUCAAUGGCCAGCAUCUAGUCAAGAGUCAUUCGAGCAACGGGGUGGAGAAGUCCCUAUUGGCCUGGGCACGUCAGUAUACGGAAGCUCAUGGCCUGCAGCUGAAUGAUUUCUCCAGUUCGUGGUCCGAUGGAAGAGCCUUCCUCAUGAUCCUGGAUGCUCAUGUGGAGGAGCUGAAUCUACAGGCGGCUUUGCAGCAACAUGCACUGAAAAGACUGCAUUUGGCUUUUGACUUAGCACAUAGGCACUUUAAGAUUGAAAAGCUGCUGGAUGCCGAGGAUGUGCACACCCACAAGCCAGAUAACAAGUCAAUACAGAUGUAUGUGAUGUGCCUUUACCACGCCAUGGAAUCAAUGAGGACAAGGCAGCAGGAGCAGGAGCAGGAUGAGGGACAGGAUCAGGAUCCGGGAAGAGUGCCCUGCACCAGCAUCACAGACUUGGAUGAGGUGCCACUGGACAAUGACCAAACCAGUUUGGGGCUUUAUACUUCAGACAGUGCUGGUAGCAUGGAGCAGAGAUCUUCAGGGGAGCUGAAGACCCUUUCCAUGCGUCCCUUGAGUACGGCAACCAAUGCAAGUGUGGAGAUCAGUGGCUAUCAGUCAGCUCUCGAGGCAGUACUCACCCUCCUACUGGAAGAUGAACAGCUGCUCUCACAGAACUUGCCGGAUCCGCAGGAUUUUCAGACUGCCAAGCUGCAGUUUCACGAAAAUGAAAGCUUCAUGCUGAAGCUCACCGAACAUCAGGAGUAUGUGGGAGAAGCUCUGGAGGAGGGUAGCAACCUCAUCAACGAAUCCCAGAAGGCUGGAGCUGGUUUGAGUCAGGAGGAUCAAAACGAAGUGAGGCAACAAAUGGUGUUGCUCAACGAACGUUGGGAAACCUUGAGAUUGCGAGCAUUAGAUGUUCAAGCCAAAAUCCUAAUGAGACUGGCCGAGUUUCAGAAGCAAAAACUCGAACAGCUUCGUCAGUUUCUGACCAGUGUCGAAGAUCGUAUAUCCCAUAUGAGUGAUAUAGGACCUACCAUAGAAGAAGCGGAAAAGCAAAUUUUGGAAGCCCAAAAACUGAAAGCAGAUCUAAGUGAGCAGCAGGAAUUGGUGGAUAGUCUGAGCAGCAUGGUGGUCAUUGUAAACGAUACCUCAGGCAACUUUAAUGAUCUAGAAGAUCGCUUGAGUGCCUUGGGGGAGAGAUGGUCGCAUGUGGUGAAGUGGAGUGAUCUGCGAAAAGAGAAACUACAGCAGUAUAAAUGUAUCUCCAGAUGGCUGGAUGCCCGCGAGCAGGAUCUCAAGCUCAUGGAGAGUCGCGAUGUCACAGAUGUGGGCGGCAUUACCCAGCGUAUCAAUGAGCUAAACUAUUGUGCCAAGGAUCUGUUGGAACUGCAGAGAUAUCUGAUAGAUCUGCGACAAAUGGUGGCUGCCACAUUGCAGGAUGGUGAUGACAAGGGCGAACGGGUGCUCAUCCAAUUAGAGAGUUACGAAGAUCGUUUAGAUGCCUUAAAGCAGAUUGUUGAAGUACAAACAGUGCGAAUCGAAACGAAGGGCUUUAACUUUGGACGAGAUCGAGCUAGCUAUGAUGACAGCAGGGUGGUGCGUCCAGAAGGAUGGUUGGACUACCAGAUGAUCAUUCGCUUCGGUGAAGACGAUUCUCAGGAAGACGAUGACGAGCAUGAUUUGGCCAGCAAGAAGCGAAAGCUUAGAAACGCUGACAAUUUCAAUGCUCUCGAGAAUAACAUCAUGGAGCACUUUGGCUAUGUCCAGGAAGUGGAGCAAAAGCUACAGCAGUUGCAGAGGCAAAGUCUUCGGCAACAGUGUGAAUUACUCAAGGAACUUCAGGCGGAAAACAGUCGACGCUGCGGUACUUUACCCGAACUUAAGAAACUCUACGAAGUCUGUGAGCUGGAGGAUCCGUCGAGGAACCUGCUCCUGGAGGAAACACACAUCAAGCAGCUGGAGCAACGAUAUGCGAACUUGUCUCAAAAACUAUCAAGCCAACAGAGCGAAAGCCGUACGCUGUUGGCCAAGGAAAAGUAUUACAAUAGUCUGACAGGAUUUAAAUUAGUUUUAGCUGAUUCCAGAGAUUGGUAUAAGCAACACGCUGGCUCAGCCAGUGGCAACGAACUAGAACAGCGUUUGAGCCACAUGGAAUCCCUGUCAUCGGAGAUUUCAGAGGCCAAGACAGCCACCGAGGAGCUGGAUGAUAAUCUAAUAGAAUGGAAGCAGGACUUCGGUCUGUUCUACGACAGUUGGCAUGACAUGAAGCAGGCUCUGCAGGCCCUAAUUCAACAGAGAGGCGGCGAAAGUCUUUCCAGGCAGUUGAAACAAGUCCAAGAUUUUGUAACCAAAGUGUCUAAUCAAAAGGUUCGCGUUUCCAAUCUGGAAGUCAUGCAGAAGCAACAGCAUUUGCUGAACCAAUUGGUAGACGAAAUGGAGUCCCUUCGGCUAACCUAUGAUAAUAUACCGAAACACCUGAUUGGCGAAGAACUACAAACCACGUGGAACCGACUUCCCGAACAGCUAAAUGAGCGCGUAAUUAAGCAAACCACAGCUAUAGAAAACCUAAACCACUUUGCUGCGGAGUAUAAUGCCAUUAUAGCCAUGCUGCGAAGUGCAGCCGAUUCCAAGUUGAAUGGAAGUGAUGGUGGUAGCAGUCAAGAUCUCCGAAAACUGGAGAUCGAUGUGAUAAGCGCUCGAAAUUUCAGCGAAAUUCUGAUCAAGGAGGCGGAGCCAGCCCAAAAGGAGUCGCUACAAUCGCAGAUUAGGGCUCUCAAUACGUUGUACGAUCAAGUGGAACAGGUUCAUCGGGAGAAGAAGCAACAGCAGACGGUCCUGCAAUCCCAGAUUGAUCUCAUCCAGCUGAGGCUCAAGGAAACCGAUCAGUGGUUAACUGAUCUGGAGAGUAAUACACCCAAAUCGGGAAUUAGCGAUAUAGUAAACUCCAACGAGUUGUUCCAGAGCAAGAGUCGCUUUCAGACUCUUAAAGAAACCUGCGAAAGGGAAACCACACAGUUCAGGGAUCUCAACGAACGUGGUGGUGAGCUGCUCCUCCAAAUGGAUGAGCUUCAGGACCAGGACAGGGAGUCCCGAUACGGAUCGCUAGCAAAGCAAUUCACACGCAUCAAUGCCAGAUGGACGGAGGUCACCGAGCUGGUUUAUGCGAAGACAGCUCUUCUCGAGCAUAUAUCAACGCAGCUGGGGGAGUUCAAGAAGUUCAUGGUUAGCGAGACGGGUUACCUGGACAAGUUGGAAAACAAGAUACGCAACACACCAGAGAAUGCAGCCGACGCAGAGGAGAUCAUGGAGGAGCUUGAUGAUCUGGAGAACGUUCUGCGCUCGCACUCUGAGGAAUGGCUGGACAAGAUUCAGGAAAUUGGCAACGAGCUAAUUGACAACGAAUUCAUGGCCGACUCCAUACGACGCGACAUUGAUGAAACCGUCCAGCGGUGGACACACCUCCAGCAGCAGGCCAAGAAGCGAACCGAGCUCCUGGAGCAAAAGGUCAGCGAGGCGGAGCAGUCCGAGAAGUGCAUCGUGCAGUUCGAAAAGUGGCUGACCCGUGUGGACGACAUACUCAGCGAUUAUCUGGAGAACGAUGUGACCCUUGCAGAUCAGCCGGAGGAUUUCCAGCGCUUGGCACGCGAGUUUGUGGCCAAUGAGAAAAACUUUACGGAGAUCAGCGAACUUAUUGACGAGCACACGAGGAACGGCAAGGUGGGAGCUGCCAAUCGCCUCCAGGAGCAGCUUAACCUGAUGGAGGUGCGGUUCAAGUACUGCCAGGCCAAGCUGAGCAAGUGUACCGCACCCCAACCUGCCUACGAAUCGCAUUUGAAUAGGGCCUAUGCGGAUCUUCGAAACGUGGAGCGAUCCACACAGGUACUAGAUGUCGCAUCCGCCGGACCCAACACGGUUCAGGCUCAAUACCAAAACUGUCUGCAAAUUUAUCGCACUCUGUCGGAGAUAAAGGCGGAAAUCGAGAGAACUAUUAAAACCGGUCGCAGGGUUUGCGAGGACAGGUACACAAAAUCGCCGAAACAACUUAGUCAGCGGAUUGAUGCGCUGAAGCACCUGUACAAUGCCCUCGGAGAGAAUGUGACCCAGUCAAAGGCGUUACUGGAAAGCCUGCUCAGAUUAGCGAGGCAAUUAGAGGAGUGUUUCGAUUCGGCGGACAGCCUAAUCCGGCGCUUUGAGUCGCCGCAAGAGGUCCAUGACAGGAACUCCAUACUCCUGGAGUUCGAGGAUGUGCUGCGAAGGUGCGAGGACCACUAUAAUGAGUAUAGCAAAUCCUGCGACCAGAGCUGUAUGGUGGAAACCCGUCAGAGGAUCGAUGGCUUGAAGGCCACGUACCACAAGUUGACCAGUGCGGACAUAAUCAAGCGGCUCACCGAGAUGAAGGCCACCCUGCAGAACCUGGACAACAUUUCACUGGAGACUUUAAAGGCAAUGGAGCACGACCUGAAGGAGAUAAAUGUGCCCUCGAAUCCGGAAAUUGAGAAAUUGCAGCAGCAAGUAAUUGCAAUUGUCGUGGAUGUGCUGAAAACCCGUUUCAAUGAAGCCACAACGCUUGCCGCUCGAAAUACGAGCUCUCCCGAAAAUGACGACACGGAAAUAGUUGUGGUCAGCGAUACAGUGCGUCAACGACGUGCCAGGACACCCCAAUCGGGGGAAUCGCCAUCAUCCGCCCACACCAGUUCCUCGGAGUCGCCAACGAAGGGUGUGGAGAAUACUCCGGUUGCGGUUGGCGACCAAGUCCUGCCGGAUCUCCUUCCACCACAAACAUUCCGGCUGGCCGAGUCCAGUACCCUGUUCUCGCAGAUUUCCCUUAAUCCCGAGAAGGUAUCGAACACUCCACCACCCAAACCAGCGAAAACUAAGCGAAAGGCCCCAAGUUCUCCAGCCCAAGUUGUGGAGAUCAAGGUGAAGAACAUCCAAAACGAUAAAAUGUCUGUGCAGAAUAUUGAUCUGGAACCACAGCAGGGUGAAAUCGUGGACACCGUCAAUAUCCUGGAGAGUGUGGAACCAUUUGUACCCGAAUAUGUAGAGACCGUACAGAUUGUAGAUCUCUCCGAGGACUCGGAUUCAUCGGUUAGAGUUGACAGUCAGGGCAAUGAGGUGCGACGAUCGAAGAGCAAGCACUCUUUGAACGAGACUCCACUGCCCAAGGUUUCGGAUAACGAUGAAGAUUCGGCGGGACAAGAGGAGGACCUUCUGCGUCCCUCGGCUGAGAAUACAAGCACUCCGUUCCUGAGGGUGGAAAAACGCCGCAUUUCCUUCGAUGAGAAACGCAAGCGAGUAGCUAAUGAGCGCGAUAUCCUGCGCGAUUCCGAAGAGGAGGAACCCAAAACACCGGAUACUCCACGGGCAGCGCAAGUCUCCAAGCCAAAGCGCUGGCGCCAACUGCAGCCAGAAAUGGAUGCUCUGGAACCCGAAUCACCCGGUCGCGAUAGUUUCUAUAGUCCCGACAAAGAAUCCGGUUUCGAUGCUGAGCCUCUCGUGUUUUCCGACGAUGAAGAUAUACCGCGUUUCUCGCUGGAAAUGACACCAACCAUUGACUCCGAUAGUGAUACGAGUCGCAUUGAGACGCCCUCUACCAAAAAGCCCAAUCCUUUCCUGAGCAAGGUCCUGGAAUCGAUGCCUUCUCCGGUGGAUGACUCAAAUGUAACGCUCAAAAGCCCGCUCAGCGAACAGCCCCAGAAUCUGGAUGAUCGUGUGCGGGAGUUCGACAAGCAGGCCAAGCAGAUGAUCUACAAGUUGAAGCUUACGAAGGCCAAGAUUGAACAGUGUCACGAAAGCGAAGCAGAGGACCUGCGGCUCCUGAUAGCUCCCGAUGCAGCCACCUUGAUAUCCCAAGGCGACUCUUUGGUUCUGGAAACCCAUGGUAGACAGGGCAGCAUAUCCCGCCUGGUGAUGCGCACCCAAAUAAUUUUGAGGGAACAAUUCCGAGAAGUGCAGCAAGCAAGAUCCAAGACCUCGGGAAGCGGGGCACCAGCUCCUCCACUGGACAGCGUGAACAUCGAGGAGCUGGUCACCAAGGGACUGCGUCGCAUCAACGUUCUCAUAGAAAAGACCGUCGAUCUAAAGUCGAGCAGUGAUCUUGAGAAGCGCAUGGAGGAUAUCAACGAGCGGCACGACGAUUUGCAGGUGAUUGUCAGCGCCAUUGGCAAGAACGCCCAGAUGCCGAAGGUCACGCCCCUCAUGAUGAACGAAAUUGAAAAGACGAAAAACAAUUUGAUAGCUCAUGCGGAUUCCAUUGAGCUCUCGUUGACGGAACUAAGAAAUGGCCCCCGAAUUUCCAAUGGCAAGGAGCGCCCAGAUGCAUCCAGUGCGUCCACCAUGAGCUGUCGUUCCGAGUACAAUAACGAGCCGAGUGGUACUGGAGCGUUGGCCGGCAGCUUCGAUAAGUCGGUGCUGCAAAUUUCCGACUGGCUUACUUGGGAACAAAACAUGAUCAAGAUACAGAGCGUGCUCGUCGACGAUGGCGAUGCAGUGCGACUGGCCAUCGAGAAGCAGGAGAAAGUCCUGCGUGAAUUGAAAAUGAAAAAGCCGCAGCUCAACGAACUGGUUCACACGGCGGAAGUGCUCAAAGGCGACGUAAAACGGCAGCAACUCCAGGAGAAAGAGCUGAAACAGUUUUCCCUAGCACCGCACUGUUCAGCGGACUUAGAUUAUAUGCGUUGCUGUCUGAAAGUGACCCGAUUGCGAGAACACUGGGAUGAGACGUCGCAAUGUGUCCUGCAGCGAGCUGCCCAACUGAAAAACAUGCUGAGCGACUCACAGCGGUUCGAGGCCAAGCGCCUGGAGCUGGAGAAGUGGCUGGCCCGCAUGGAGCAGCGGGCUGAGCGCAUGGGAACCAUCGCCACCACGGCCGACAUCCUGGAGGCCCAGCAGAAGGAGCAGAAGUCCUUCCAUGCGGAGUUGCACCAGAACAAACAACACUUCGAUAUCUUCAACGAGCUGACCCAGAAACUGAUUGCCGUCUAUCCCAAUGAUGAUACCACCAGGAUCAAGAAGAUGACGGAGGUCAUCAAUCAAAGAUAUGCUAACUUAAACAGCGGAGUCAUCAAUCGUGGUAAGCAACUGCAUGCAGCGGUGCAUAGCCUUCAAUCUUUUGACCGAGCCAUGGAUCAGUUCCUUGCCUUUCUUUCGGAAACGGAAACACUUUGUGAAAACGCCGAGUCUGAUAUUGAACGCAAUCCAUUAAUGUUCAAGGACCUACAAUCGGAAAUUGAAACCCAUCGCGUGGUUUACGAUCGUCUCGAUGGAACAGGCCGCAAACUUUUGGGUUCGCUCACCUCACAAGAGGAUGCGGUUAUGCUGCAGCGUCGCCUCGAUGAAAUGAAUCAACGUUGGAAUAAUUUAAAAUCGAAAAGUAUUGCAAUCAGGAAUCGCCUGGAGUCCAAUUCGGAGCACUGGAACGCCCUGCUCUUGUCGCUGCGCGAACUGACCGAGUGGGUUAUCCGCAAGGACACCGAACUGAGCACUUUGGGCUUGGGUCCCGUUCGAGGCGAUGCCGCCAGUCUACAGAAACAGUUGGACGAUCAUAAAGCCUUUCGCCGCCAAUUGGAGGAUAAGCGGCCAAUUGUCGAGAGCAAUUUAACGAGCGGUCGUCAGUACAUCGCCAACGAAGCAGCCGUCUCGGAUACCAGCGAUACGGAGGCCAACCAUGACUCCGACUCGCGUUACAUGUCCGCCGAGGAGCAGAGCCGUGAGCUAACACGCAGCAUCCGGCGGGAGGUGGGAAAACUUUCCGAGCAGUGGAACAAUCUAAUCGAUAGAUCUGACAAUUGGAAGCAUCGCCUGGAUGAGUACAUGACGCCGCAAUCCGUAUCGGUUGUAUCGGAAAUUCUAAUUUCCAACACGCUCAAAAAAAUGCGUCAGUUCCAGAAGAUCCUGGAGGAUCUCAGCUCCCGCGUUGCCCUUGCCGAGCAGACAAAAACCUCCUGGCUGCCACCCUCCUCCGUGGGCGAGGCCAAUGAGCAGAUGCAACAGUUGCAGCGCCUGAGGGACAAGAUGACGACGGCCAGUGCGCUCCUGGAUGAUUGCAACGAGCAGCAGUCCUUCUUCACCGCCAAUCAGGUCCUGGUGCCCACACCCUGCCUCUCCAAGCUGGAGGACUUGAACACGCGCAUGAAACUCCUGCAAAUCGCGAUGGACGAGCGCCAGAAGGUCCUUUGUCAGGCUGGAGCUCAGCAGACGCACGAGAACGGCGACGACGGACGCACCACAUCGAACAGCGGCACCAUUGGACCACUGCCCAAUCUCGGCCAGAGCGUGAAGCCGCCAUGGGAGCGGGCCACCACAGCCGCCAACGUGCCUUACUAUAUCGACCACGAACGUGAGACCACGCACUGGGACCAUCCGGAGAUGAUUGAGCUGAUGAAGGGCUUGGCAGAUCUCAACGAGAUACGCUUUUCCGCCUACAGAACGGCCAUGAAACUGCGAUCUGUUCAGAAGCGAUUGGCUCUCGACAGGAUUAGCAUGUCCACCGCCUGCGAGUCCUUCGAUCGACAUGGCCUGCGUGCCCAAAACGACAAGCUGAUCGACAUACCCGACAUGACCACGGUGCUGCAUUCGCUCUACGUGACAAUCGAUAAAAUUGAUUUGACGCUAAUGCUGGACCUGGCCAUCAACUGGAUCCUGAAUGUCUACGACUCACAGAGGACCGGACAAAUCCGUGUCCUCAGCUUCAAGGUCGGACUGGUCCUCCUCUGCAGGGGUCACCUGGAGGAGAAGUAUCGCUAUCUGUUCCGCCUGGUUGCAGACACUGACCGACGUGCGGAUCAGAGACGACUGGGACUCCUGCUGCACGAUUGCAUUCAGGUACCCCGCCAACUAGGUGAAGUUGCCGCUUUCGGUGGCUCCAACAUUGAGCCCUCGGUGAGAUCCUGCCUGGAGCAGGCUGGCAUCUCGCAGGAGGCCAUCGAUGGCAACCAGGACAUCUCCAUCGAGCUGCAGCACUUCCUCGGCUGGCUGCAGCACGAACCGCAGAGCCUCGUGUGGCUUCCGGUGCUCCAUCGCCUGGCGGCGGCGGAGGCGGCCAAGCACCAGGCCAAGUGCAACAUCUGCAAGGAGUACCCGAUCGUGGGCUUCCGCUACAGAUGCCUCAAGUGCUUCAACUUCGACAUGUGCCAAAAGUGUUUCUUCUUCGGCCGCAACGCCAAGAACCACAAGCUCACGCAUCCCAUGCACGAGUACUGCACCACUACCACAUCCACCGAGGACGUUCGUGACUUUACACGCGCCCUGAAGAACAAAUUCAAGAGUCGCAAAUACUUCAAGAAGCAUCCAAGAGUGGGAUACCUGCCCGUUCAGAGUGUUUUGGAGGGUGAUGCUCUGGAGAGUCCGGCGCCCAGUCCGCAGCACACAACCCAUCAACUACAGAACGACAUGCACUCCCGCUUGGAGAUGUACGCCUCACGACUGGCUCAGGUGGAGUACGGCGGAACGGGCUCAAAUUCCACGCCGGACAGUGAUGAUGAGCACCAACUGAUCGCUCAGUAUUGCCAGGCUCUGCCCGGAACUUCGAAUGGAAGUGCGCCCAAGUCGCCUGUCCAAGUAAUGGCCGCCAUGGAUGCCGAGCAGCGGGAAGAACUGGAGGCGAUCAUCCGCGAUCUGGAGGAGGAGAACGCUAACCUGCAGGCGGAGUACCAGCAAUUGUGCAGCAAGGAGCAGAGCGGCUUGCCCGAGGACUCCAAUGGCAUGCAACACUCCAGUUCUAGCAUGACUGGUCUUUCUGGCCAGGGCGAGCAGGGCCAGGACAUGAUGGCGGAAGCGAAGCUGCUGCGCCAGCACAAGGGACGCCUCGAGGCGCGUAUGCAAAUCCUGGAGGAUCACAAUCGGCAACUGGAAGCGCAGUUGCAGCGACUACGCCAACUUCUCGAUGAGCCCAAUGGCGGCGGUAGUAGCGCCACCAGCAGCGGUCUGCCCAGCGCCCCCGGCUCCGCAUUGAACUCCAAACCCAACACUCUCCAGACCCGGUCGGUGACCGCCUCGCAAUUGAACACGGACUCACCGGCAAAGAUGAACCAACAGAAUGGCCACUACGAGCACAACUCAAAGGGAAUUAUGCUGCCGGGCAUGAACAGCGAGAUGCAGCAACAGCACGCCCAGCUGGCGAGCUUGGCGGCGAAGCAUCACCAGCACCAGCUCAGCGGAGCCCUGAAUGCGUUGCACCAACAGCAGCAGCAACAGCAGCAGUUGCAGCAGCAACAUCCGCAGCAACAAAGGAGCCUGAUGACAGGCAAUGGCGGAAUGGACAUUUCCGGCGGCAUGCAGACAUCGGGCGGAUAUCUGGGCGACGACGGGCGUCCACCGCCGCCCCCGCACUCCAGUCUCAUGCAACAGCAGCACCAGCAGCACUUGAAUGGUGCGGAUAUUAAUGGCAGUCACUGUCACCUUUUGUAGCCGGCUCAAUUUUCCGACCACCUCUGUUCGGCUUGUGUUGAGUUUGGUUUUCGUUUGCGGUGCCUACUUUAGGGCACUGGAUUUUGAUUUCAUUUUCGAAAUGCUUGUGUUGUUUGUGUUGAUGUCGCUUUCUCUGUACAACCUUGUUGGAAUACAAGUUUCCACCAUAAAUACUAAUCUCGAUUAUUUCUCUUGCUCUGCUCUCUUUCCACUGCCCCAAAUCGCCAUGCAGAUCUUGCCUAGAAUGUGUUGGAUUAAAGCGAGAACUCAAGCGGCCUGGUGACCGUAAUCACAGAGCAGGAAUUGGAGUGCAUCAACGAUGAUCUGGAGGACUCUUCGAGCAGCAACACUACG